rnacentral:rRNA from 1 species
AUUGAACGCUGGCGGCAUGCUUUACACAUGCAAGUCGAACGGUAACAGGCCGCAAGGUGCUGACGAGUGGCGAACGGGUGAGUAAUGCAUCGGAACGUGCCCAGUCGUGGGGGAUAACGCAGCGAAAGCUGCGCUAAUACCGCAUACGAUCUAUGGAUGAAAGCGGGGGACCGAAAGGCCUCGCGCGAUUGGAGCGGCCGAUGUCAGAUUAGGUAGUUGGUGGGGUAAAGGCCCACCAAGCCAACGAUCUGUAGCUGGUCUGAGAGGACGACCAGCCACACUGGGACUGAGACACGGCCCAGACUCCUACGGGGGGCAGCAGUGGGGAAUUUUGAACAAUGGGCGCAAGCCUGAUCCAGCAAUGCCGCGUGCAGGAAGAAGGCCUUCGGGUUGUAAACUGCUUUUGUACGGAACGAAACGGUCCGGGUUAAUACCCUGGGCUAAUGACGGUACCGUAAGAAUAAGCACCGGCUAACUACGUGCCAGCCGCCGCAGUAAGAC